CCUACGGGUGGCAGCAGUGAGGAAUAUUGGUCAAUGGCCGGAAGGCUGAACCAGCCAAGCCGCGUGAAGGACGAAGGUGCCAAGCAUUGUAAACUUCUUUUGUGCGGGCGCAAUAAUGGUCACGUGUGGCCAGACGAGAGUACCGUACGAAUAAGCAUCGGCUAACUCCGUGCCAGCAGCCGCGGUAAUACGGGGGAUGCAAGCGUUAUCCGGAUUUAUUGGGUUUAAGGGGUGCGUAGGCUGUGAGGUAAGUCAUCGGUGAAAUGCACGCGCUCAACGGGGUGAAGUGCCAUUGAGACUGCCUUGCUGGAAUGCGGAUGCCGUGGGAGGAAUGUGUGGUGUAGCGGUGAAAUGCAUAGAUAUCACACAGAACACCGAUUGCGAAGGCAUCUCACGAAUCCGCGAUUGACGCUGAUGCACGAAAGCGUGGGUAUCAAACAGGAUUAGAUACCCUAGUAGUC
rnacentral:rRNA from 1 species